GGUGAGAUGGCAUUGCUCUUGAUGGAUUCUACCAUCUCAGGAUAUUUGCUGGCUAAUUUUUGCAUAGCAUUAACAAACAUGUCAGUGUUAACUACUCCAGGGUGAAUAGAAACUACAACGAAUCCAUCUUUCUCUAACUCAAAACUAAUUUCUUUCAUCGUAUAAUUUAAGGCUGCUUUAGAUUGCCCGUAAGCCGAGUAUGUGUUUGGACGAACUCCUCCCAUGCACGCAGCCAUUGAUGAAGUAAAAACAAUAUUCUUUAGCUUUCCCUCCUUUAACAAGUGAUAAAAAGCUUGGUAAACAUGAAUAGGACCUAACACAUUGGUUUGAUAAUGAGACAUCCAAAGCUCGUCUGAUGUUUUCAAAACAGGUUGGAAGGAUUUCGAUAUCCCCGAAUUCACCCAAAGAACAUCAAUACAUUUUACUACCUUUUCAACCUGCAUGGCAGCGUCUUUGGCACUUCGUAGAGAAGUGACAUCUAACUUGAUGAUAUGUACAUUGGAAUGGGUCUUGCUCCAAUCUUUCAGUUCAGAGGCAGAUCCAGGUCCACGAGCACUUGCAAAAACAGUUACUCCUUCCUUAUUGCUUAACUCUUUGACUAGAGAAAGUCCAAUGCCACGGUUUCCACCCACAAUAACGUAAACUAUCCCACCAGCAGCCGACAUGUUUUAGCAUAAAAUGACUCAAAAAGAUUCAAGGUGAUGAUUUUUUUCAACAAUAAUUCUUUAUAUCAAGGUCAGUCGUCUUGCCUAGCCUACUUGGUUGGAGGUGUAAAACAGUUGCGCUCACGCAUAAUGUAUCAAGUCAGAAAGAUCUGCAAAUGCAUCGUCGCACAGUUCUUAAACUAUAGUCACUAAACAAUAAUACGUUAUUAUUUAAUCAAUCAAUAUGCUUUAUGAAUGACAUUAUGCUCUUUUGCCCAAAUUAAGCCCUAAAGUCGUAGCUGGUAUCUCUAGUCUGAGUUUGGGACAGCAGUUUUAAAGUAAAAGGCUGCUGAAUUCUAUCAGGUAUCAUUCCUCCAUUUGCUACUAGAUAAAGCUACUAUAACUAAAGAAUUGGCAAUACAUUUCGAUAAUAAACAUACAAACAAUGUAGCGGAUUCACAUUUUUAUUGCUACA